rnacentral:rRNA from 1 species
GACGAACGCUGGCGGCGUGCUUAACACAUGCAAGUCGAACGGAAAGGCCCUGCUUGCAGGGUACUCGAGUGGCGAACGGGUGAGUAACACGUGGGUGAUCUGCCCUGCACUUCGGGAUAAGCUUGGGAAACUGGGUCUAAUACCGGAUAGGAACCAUCUUUAGUGUGGUGGUUGGAAAGUUUUUUCGGUGUAGGAUGAGCUCGCGGCCUAUCAGCUUGUUGGUGGGGUAAUGGCCUACCAAGGCGGCGACGGGUAGCCGGCCUGGGAGGGUGUACGGCCAAAAUGGGGAUGGGAUACGGCCCAGACUCCUACGGGGGGCAGCAGUGGGGAAUAUUGGAAAAAGGGCGCAAGCCUGAUGCAGCGACGCCGCGUGGGGGAUGAAGGCCUUCGGGUUGUAAACUCCUUUCGCUAGGGACGAAGCUUUUUGUGACGGUACCUAGAUAAGAAGCACCGGCUAACUACGUG